rnacentral:lncRNA from 1 species
CUCGUUGAAAUUCUGAAUCUCAGAGUUGAUUCUCCUUCAGCUCUUCCCUACUUUCGUCUUGUGUUUAGACGAGUACUCUUUUUCUUUUUCACGGUUUUUCCCAAUGGGUUUUCCGUGAAAAGGUUUUAAUGAGGCUCCGCCCUUAGUCUGCUCCUCCUGUGCUUUCAAGGGUUUUUUUUUUCUUUUCUUUUUUAUAUAAAAUCGUCAUUUAAUAAAAUAAUAAACUCUUUCUAAAAUAAGUAAUUAAAGGCUUCCAAGUUUUUAAAAUAUACCAUUGUUUAAAACUAUAGUGUUUAAUAGCCUCAACUUAAAAGUAACUCUUU